rnacentral:rRNA from 1 species
AUUGAACGCUGGCGGCAGUCCUAACACAUGCAAGUCGAACGGUAACAGGAAGAAGCUUGCUUCUUUGCUGACGAGUGGCGGACGGGUGAGUAAUGUCUGGGAAACUGCCUGAUGGAGGGGGAUAACUACUGGAAACGGUAGCUAAUACCGCAUAACGUCGCAAGCCCAAAGAGGGGGACCUUCGGGCCUCUUGCCAUCGGAUGUGCCCAGAUGGGAUUAGCUAGUAGGUGGGGUAACGGCUCACCUAGGCGACGAUCCCUAGCUGGUCUGAGAGGAUGACCAGCCACACUGGAACUGAGACACGGUCCAGACUCCUACGGGAGGCAGCAGUGGGGAAUAUUGCACAAUGGGCGCAAGCCUGAUGCAGCCAGGCCGCGUGUAUGAAGAAGGCCUUCGGGUUGUAAAGUACUUUCAGCGGGGAGGAAGGGAGUAAAGUUAAUACCUUUGCUCAUUGACGUUACCCGCAGAAGAAGCACCGGCUAACUCCGUG